rnacentral:snoRNA from 1 species
AUGCAGAUCAAAACUACAAUGAUCCACUACAGAUACAAGAAGUCCUCGUGCUUUCUGUCUGUCUGGUUGUGGCAGCCAAGAUUGAAUGGGGGAAUACAGGA